CCCCCCCCCCGGCAGCCGCAGCGGGGGCAGGAUCCCGUGGGCACGGCGGGUUUGCCCACCCUUGGGCCGCGCAGCGCCCCCUCUGCCCUCGCUGCCUCCGCUUCCAGCCGGGCAUGCUGCAUACCUAAAAGCAGGAGCUGAUUCUUGCCCCCUUGGCCUUGAUUGCACUUGUUGCAAACAUUGGAAACUUCUUUGCAUUUAAAUAACGGACUUACUCAGGCUUUGACACCCCACUGGGAUUCUGCUUCAUCAGCACAGCCCUGCUCUAAACUGCUUCUUACGGCUAUGCAUAAUUUAGCUUUUAAUGAGAAAUAUCCCAUAGAUCUAUGCUUCGAAGCAGCCCCUCUGCGUCGCAGUCCCAUCCAGACGGCGCACCUAUUCUGCGCAGCUCCAACUAGCUGAGCCUUCUUAACACAGUAAUUAGCCUCGCUGCCUCGCAUGAUAAAGAUGAAGCAAGAGAAUCAGAAAAAAGGGAUGCUGCUAGAAGCUGUGCCUUCUAAGCAAGCCUCUGUGGUCACUUCAAAAUCCAGCAAUGCUUUCUAAGCACUGUAUAUGGCUUACUGAUGUUUCUAUACUGUUGCUAAUACAGAGGAGCUUGCAAAAAACGGCAUCGUAGCUUUUAUAGAAGAUAGGGCCAUUACUAGAGUUUUUCAGGCAUCAAAGCAAAUCAUUUUUACUUUCUGCUCUCCCAUGUCACUUUAUUGUUACUUCCCAGAGGGACUUAACGCAGAAUAUGUGAAAGGAGAAAACAUGGAAGCGGUUGUGAGCGAAGAACCUCAAGUUAAAUAUUCAGUGCAGGAAACACAGCCAGCAGAACCACCCAAACAAGACAGCACGAAGCUCUAAAGCACGACCUGGGGCUGGAAGAGAACCAGUCAGCAGCAGACAUGGAGAUCUUACAUGCUUGUAAUUUAGCUUUUUAUUUAAUUUGAAUCCAAAGCUAUUUAAUGUGUACUUAGGCUUGAACUGGCUUCUUACUGCUAUAGGCUUUAGGGUUAGAAUGGUAAUAUGUGUUUUUUUGUAAAGACUUCUAUGUUUACAUUUACGUAAUAUUAUAGGCUUGAUUUCAAGUUGUAUGCAAAACAACCGAAGGUGCUUCAGUAGCGUUCAACUAUCAGUUAAGGGACAAGGUCUUUUCCAAGGAGCAGAAGAGCUUACAGGUGUGAGGACAGUGAAGUGCCUGUAAAUAGCAAUCCAAAGCAAACCACGCAAAACCCUUUGUAAAUCACUUCCAGCUGACUUUAACCACCUGCUACAGGCACAUAACUUCCAAUGGCAGUGAUGAAAACUGCACAUUUACUGAGGGUAGAUUGAGGUCCUUAGAGUAGCUACACCUGAAAAUAAAGUGCCUAUGGGUAGGUCCUCA
rnacentral:lncRNA from 1 species